rnacentral:rRNA from 1 species
UACAGAGGUCCCAAGCGUUACUGAGAAUCACUGGGUUUAAAGGGUGCGUAGGUGGUCCGUUAAGUCAGUUGUGAAAUCCCCGGGCUCAACCCGGGAACUGCUUCUGAUACUGGCGGACUUGAGGCCAGUAGGGGUCACUAGAACUGACGGUGGAGCGGUGAAAUGCGUAGAUAUCGUCAGGAAUGCCGGUGGUGAAGACGGGUGACUGGGCUGGUUCUGACACUGAGGCACGAAGGCGUGGGGAGCGAACGGG